CCUACGGAGGGCAGCAGUGAGGAAUAUUGGUCAAUGGGCGCGAGCCUGAACCAGCCAAGUAGCGUGAAGGAUGACUGCCCUACGGGUUGUAAACUUCUUUUAUAAAGGAAUAAAGGGAGGCACGUGUGCCGGUUUGGAUGUACGGUAUGAAUAAGGAUCGGCUAACUCCGUGCCAGCAGCCGCGGUAAUACGGAGGAUCCGAGCGUUAUCCGGAUUUAUUGGGUUUAAAGGGAGCGUAGAUGGGUUGUUAAGUCAGUUGUGAAAGUUUGCGGCUCAACCGUAAAAUUGCAAUUGAUACUGGCAGCCUUGAGUACAGUUGCGGUAGGCGGCAUUCGUGGUGUAGCG
rnacentral:rRNA from 1 species